rnacentral:lncRNA from 1 species
AAAACAAAAAUGAAUAAAAUCAAAUGAUAAUCCACAGAAACGCACCAAAUAUCUAUCUAACUAUACAAACAAAAUAAUAAUAAAGCAACUCAAACAACAAACUACGACUAGUGUUCACUUGGUCCCGACCUCGUCCAUCAAACACUCUUAAAACCUGGGUAAUCAACCAUAUAUCACAUUAGUCGGAUUAAAUAUGCAAAAUAAAAAAUUUUCUAAAUAACUAGAUAUAAAUUUUUAUACUGAAAAUAUAAUACUGAUGACUCAGUUUCAUAAAUUUUUACAAAUCACAUUUCAUAAUUUU